GGUUGAUCCUGCCAGUAGUCAUAUGCUUGUCUUAAAGAUUAAGCCAUGCAUGUCUAAGUACAAGCUUUUUACGGUGAAACUGCGAAUGGCUCAUUACAACAGUUAUAGUUUAUUUGGUAUUCAGAUUCAAUGGAUAACCGUGCUAAUUGUAGGGCUAAUACACGUUUGAGGUCUUUUGACCGCGUUUAUUAGUUUGAAACCCGCCUUGGCUUUCGGUGAUUCAUAAUAAACUGGCGAAUCGCAUUUAGCGAUGGACCAUUCAAGUUUCUGACCCAUCAGCUUGACGGUAGGGUAUUGGCCUACCGAGGCAGCAACGGGUAACGGGGAAUUAGGGUUCGAUUCCGGAGAGGGAGCCUGAGAGACGGCUACCACAUCUAAGGAAGGCAGCAGGC
rnacentral:rRNA from 1 species